GUGCUUGCUUCAGCAGCACAUAUGCUAAAAUUGGAACAAUACAGGGCAGAUUAGCAUGGCCCCUGCACAGGGAUAAUACAAAAAUUCACUAAGUGUCCCAAAUUUUU